rnacentral:rRNA from 1 species
UACAGAGGUCUCAAGCGUUGUUCGGAUUCAUUGGGCGUAAAGGGUGCGUAGGCAGUGGGGCAAGUCAGGUGUGAAAUCCCGGAGCUCAACUCCGGAACUGCACUUGAUACUGCCUUGCUAGAGUACUGGAGAGGAGACUGGAAUUUACGGUGUAGCAGUGAAAUGCGUAGAGAUCGUAAGGAAGACCAGUGGCGAAGGCGAGUCUCUGGACAGUUACUGACGCUGAGGCACGAAGGCCAGGGGAGCAAACGGG